UAUCGAUGUCCUGGUGCUGGAUGCAGAGGCAGAUCCCUCUCACAGGCUGGACACCAACAGCACCGAGCCUGAGUCUGAGCCAGUGCCAGUUGCACAGGCUGAGGGGGAUCUGGAGAGCAGCAUGGAGGUCAUGGUGGAGAGCAUAGAAACAGCUCCCAAAAACAAGAGAGGAUGGCUACAGCGCUGUCUGAGACUCUGGAGGAGCACAGCCUCUACCUUACUUUCCUGCUGUCCUUACAGGGUAAAUAGACAUAACAAAAAAUGGAGAGGAUAGAUAGAUAAAUG